rnacentral:rRNA from 1 species
GUACACUCCUACGGGAGGCAGCAGUGGGGAAUUUUGGACAAUGGGCGCAAGCCUGAUCCAGCCAUGCCGCGUGCGGGAAGAAGGCCUUCGGGUUGUAAACCGCUUUUGUCAGGGAAGAAAAGGUUCUGGCUAAUACCUGGGACUCAUGACGGUACCUGAAGAAUAAGCACCGGCUAACUACGUGCCAGCAGCCGCGGUAAUACGUAGGGUGCAAGCGUUAAUCGGAAUUACUGGGCGUAAAGCGUGCGCAGGCGGUUAUGCAAGACAGAGGUGAAAUCCCCGAGCUCAACCUGGGAACUGCCUUUGUGACUGCAUGGCUAGAGUACGGUAGAGGGGGAUGGAAUUCCGCGUGUAGCAGUGAAAUGCGUAGAUAUGCGGAGGAACACCGAUGGCGAAGGCAAUCCCCUGGACCUGUACUGACGCUCAUGCACGAAAGCGUGGGGAGCAAACAGGAUUAGAUACCCGUGUAGUCCCAUGA